rnacentral:rRNA from 1 species
UACGGAGGGGGCAAGCGUUGUUCGGAAUCAUUGGGCGUAAAGCGCGUGUAGGCGGCUUGGCAAGUCGGGUGUGAAAUCCCGGGGCCCAACCCCGGAACUGCAUUCGAAACUGCCUCGCUAGAGUCCCGGAGAGGAAGGCGGAAUUCCCGGUGUAGAGGUGAAAUUCGUAGAUAUCGGGAGGAACACCAGCGGCGAAGGCGGCCUUCUGGACGGUGACUGACGCUGAGAAGCGAAAGCGUGGGGAGCAAACAGG